CAAGGAGAGUGAUCUGUAGCUUUCCAGCCCUCUUGUCCCACCUGCCUACACACUGUCACUGAAGGGUCACCUCACUAGAUGCUUCAAGGCACUAGUAUGGCAGCUUGUGGGGAAUCCUGGCUGGGCUGGGAUCCCUGGUAUAGAACAAGAAACUGGCUGAGAAUGGAGGCCCUGGUCCUGACCACGUACUGAUGCAUCCUGAGAGAGCAGAGGAGCAGCAGGAGAAGAGCUGUCCCGUGGGAACAGGGAACACUGUCUCAUGAGAAGGAGGACUUGUUUUGAACAGAGUGACUGAGAAAAAUAUAAACAUCAGAGGAAAACAGGGACAGGUGCACAGAAAUGUUGUGAGAAAGUAGGACUGAGAAAGUCCAGAGAAAGUCCAGCUAAAAUCUACCUAUUAGCUGUGAGAAUUGUAGUUUGUGUAUUCAAGCUGACCUAUCUGUGUGAUACACGUGUACAAAAAGAACUGUAUUUAAGAGGCUGUAAAUCGCAGCUCGUGGCUGCUGCUGCUUCCUUAUUCUUUCCAAUAAACUUUCUUGCUGAAUAUUA